rnacentral:sRNA from 1 species
CUUUGCCAAACCUCGUGACCCAAGCUUGCCUUAACCAUUCUCAUCACAUCGUCAACACUUUUGGCCUUUCGCCCGUCUAUCCUCCUUCCACCGGCAUGGAUUGGCUUAUCUUUGAAAGCCAAAAGAUCAUACAAGUCGGAAAUCUGGCCCGCCUUGAGUUCCAGUAAAUCAAUGACCUCCCGGAGGUGGUCUGCAAGGACAUGGCGCUUGGCAGAAACCGAAGCCGGAUCAAGAAGCUUGUACUGGUCUGCUAGCUCAGAGUAAACCCUGGGUUUUGCAUCAAUAUCUUCCUGUAAUCUUCCGCGUGGUGAACAUACAUUUUAUAAUGUUGGAAAUCGCCUUCCAAUUCUGCAAUCACCCUGGCAAGCACUGUUUGAGGGGGCAGUUUGCCCGGGUCCAUCUCGUCUGUCGCCUGUGUGAUCUCUGCAUUCUGAUUCAUCCUUUCAUUUUCCUUGGGUAAAGGACUAAAAAACUCGCGUUCAAGGUCUUCUCCCACUAUGCUGGGAAAAGGAGAAUGUGGGCUUCUGUCCAUAGCUUUGGAAGAUGACCUUGGCUUUGUCCGUCUGCUUCUGGAGCUUUCCUC